GAAAUGCGAUAAGUAAUGUGAAUUGCAGAAUUCAGUGAAUCAUCGAAUCUUUGAACGCACCUUGCGCUCCUUGGUAUUCCUUGGAGCAUGCCUGUUUGAGUAUCAUGAAAUCUUCAAAGUAAAUCUUUUGUUAACUCAAUUGGUUUCUACUUUGGUAUUGGAGGUCUUUGCAGCUUCACACCUGCUCCUCUUUGUUCAUUAGCUGGAUCUCAGUGUUAUGCUUGGUUCAACUCGGCGUGAUAAGUUAUCUAUCGCUGAGGACACUGUAAAAGGUGGCCAAGGUAAAUGCAGAUGAACCGCUUCUAAUAGUCCAUUGACUUGGACAAUACUUUUAUGAUCUGAUCUCAAAUCAGGUAGGACUACCCGCUGAACUUAAGCAU
rnacentral:misc_RNA from 1 species